rnacentral:rRNA from 1 species
GAUGAACGCUAGCUACAGGCUUAACACAUGCAAGUCGCGGAGCAGCAUGGGGGUUGCUUGCAAUCCCCGAUGGCGACCGGCGCACGGGUGAGUAACGCGUAUCCAACCUGCCCUUCACCACGGGAUAACCCGGCGAAAGUCGGACUAAUACCGUAUGUUGUCCAUUGACGGCAUCCGAUUUGGACGAAAGGUUUGGCGGUGAAGGAUGGGGAUGCGUCCGAUUGGCUGGACGGCGGGGUGACGGCCCACCGUGGCGACGAUCGGUAGGGGUGCUGAGAGGAAGGUCCCCCACACUGGAACUGCGACACGGUCCAGACUCCUACGGGAGGCAGCAGUGAGGAAUAUUGGUCAAUGGGCGUAAGCCUGAACCAGCCAAGUAGCGUGCAGGAUGACGGCCCUAUGGGUUGUAAACUGCUUUUAUGCGGGGAUAAAGUGGCCCACGUGUGGGUUUUUGCAGGUACCGCAUGAAUAAGGACCGGCUAAUUCCGUG